rnacentral:rRNA from 1 species
AUGAACCCGUCCUCGGCUCCUGGCCCCGAUGGCCUUCCGGUAAAGUUCUUUCGGACCUUCUGGAAGGUCAUCAAACCUGAGGUGAUGGCCCUGUUUGAGGAGUUCUACGUUGGGGUCGUCGACCUCUCCAGGCUCAACUUUGGGAUUAUCACUCUCAUCCCCAAAAUAAUUGGCGCUUUGGAGAUCCGUCAAUUCCGCCCGAUCACGGUGAUCAAUGUCAUCUUCCGCAUCCUUGCGAAGGGGUACGCCAAUAGGGUGGCCCCUCUAGCCGAUCGCAUCACCACCCGGAGCAGUCAGCCUUUAUCCAGGGACGCUAUAUCCUGGACGGCAUCCUUGUAUUUCACGAGGCUCUCCACGAGGUGCACUCCAAACACCUCAAGGCGGUCUUUCUGA